rnacentral:rRNA from 1 species
ACGAACGCUGGCGGCAGGCCUAACACAUGCAAGUCGAGCGCCCCGCAAGGGGAGCGGCGGACGGGUGAGUAACGCGUGGGAACGUACCCUUUGCUACGGAAUAGCCUCGGGAAACUGGGAGUAAUACCGUAUGUGCCCUUCGGGGGAAAGAUUUAUCGGCAAAGGAUCGGCCCGCGUUGGAUUAGGUAGUUGGUGGGGUAAUGGCCUACCAAGCCGACGAUCCAUAGCUGGUUUGAGAGGAUGAUCAGCCACACUGGGACUGAGACACGGCCCAGACUCCUACGGGAGGCAGCAGUGGGGAAUCUUAGACAAUGGGCGCAAGCCUGAUCUAGCCAUGCCGCGUGAGCGAUGAAGGCCUUAGGGUUGUAAAGCUCUUUCAGUGGGGAAGAUAAUGACUGUACCCACAGAAGAAGCCCCGGCUAACUCCGU